GACGACGCUGGCGGCGUGCCUAAUGCAUGCAAGUCGAGCGGGCUACGGUCUUCGGACUGUAGCUUAGCGGCGAACGGGUGAGUAACACGUAGGUAAUCUACCCUUCAGAGGAGGACAACCUCAGGAAACUGAGGCUAAACCUUCAUACGUUCACUGGUAGGGAUACUGGUGAAGAAAGAGUUACCUUAGUGGUAGCUGCUGAAGGAUGAGCCUGCGGCCCAUCAGGUAGUUGGUGAGGUAACGGCUCACCAAGCCGAAGACGGGUAACCGGUCCGAGAGGAUGUCCGGUCACACUGGGACUGAGACACGGCCCAGACUCCUACGGGAGGCAGCAGUUGGGAAUAUUGGGCAAUGGGCGAAAGCCUGACCCAGCGACGCCGCGUGAGGGAAGAAGGCCUUCGGGUCGUAAACCUCUGUCAUUGGGGACGAAGGAAGUGACGGUACCCAAGGAGGAAGCCCCUGCUAACUACGUG
rnacentral:rRNA from 1 species